UCAAAUACCGUACACUCAAUCGUCUGAAUUAUUUGGUUCCGAUAACAUUAAUAGUCAGGAUUUGUUUUGCGACUUUGCUCAUGGUGUCUUUGCUGCGGAUGAUUAAAAAAGAUUUCCGAAAGAUACGAUGAAUGAUCUAGAAUAAAUUAAAUUUUUAUGCAUCUGAGUGCGUCUUCGCUGCUGCUAACGUCACGUCAGGGGAAAAAAACACGAGGCGUGUGAACCCGUACGUUUUCGGAAAGCUUCUAAAUUUGGCCAUUAAACCUUUAAAUGGCCAAUACAAAACUGAAAAACAAUCGCGUCAAGGCCGGCAACAACGCAAGCGGCGAAGUUCGACAAAGUACACCAUCCUGCCGUACAAACUCCGGAGCAGCUGUACUGAAACAGGUUGAACAAUGAGCCGGAACAAUCAGCACCACUUCUUCAACAGCAGCAGCAGUAAACAUUAGUCGAGUCAGUUCCGGAGGCACGAUUGAGACCGCAGACACCAGCAAUCCAAACGGAACCAGUUGAAACACUUCCGGAUGCUGUCAAACCCGAGCAAGUGGAAACAGCCAAAUGAAAUUCGGUGGCUGAAACGGCUCAAACAGCAAACAAUCGAAAAAGCUUGAAAGAAAAACACUCCAACAUAUAUUCCGAAAAACACCGGACUAGGUCCAGUCCACUGGGCCGGAACCAGCUUCACAUCAACAGCAGCAGCAGUAUAACUUUGUCACAGGAGGUAGUUUUCCUUCUCCAGCGGCGGAAGCGAAUCGGGCGCGGAAGUAACUCAGCCAGCGAUCAUAAUAAGAUGGUGGCUCCGCCGUUCCAUUAUGAACCGUAGGUUAUAGUUAUGGAUUCGGAUACUAUUCUCUCGUGCUGUAAAUCAAAUCAUCGGUCGAAUCAUUCAACACAAAAAUGAUAACGGUACGAUUCUGCUGUGCGACAGCCCUUCUUAUAACCUUCGACAUUCGACAGAAAACACUACUAUCUUCCUGGAUCCAGAGACAUCUAAAUGCAGCGGAGGCCAGGUUGACUUCAUAAGUACCGAAGCUGCAACAGCGCUGAGGCAGAAACCGAAAAAGUGUGCGCUUACGAAGAAAAUUUCAUUUGCUAAUGAUCGGAAUCCAGUUACCAAACAGCAUGAGAACCUGGAUCGUUGAUCUCUCUCCCCCCCAGCACCGG